rnacentral:sRNA from 17 species
GUCAGAAACCCCACCGCUAAAGCGGGGGGCGCAGAAAUUGUCCUUAUCUGACCAGACUCAGUACCCAAAAAGUACUACGUUAGAGGCAAGAGUUAAAGACCUACCAAGGGAUGCUCCCGCUAGUCCCUUGCUCUAGA